AUUCCAUGAGGUGGGCAUUUCCUCAACAUUUCCUUAUACCGCUCCCAAGCAUCGUACAUAGUUUCAGACUCUAGCUACACAAAGGAUGAGAUGUCACUCAUCAAUUU